GCGGCUUGUUGCGUCAGCUGUGAAAGCCCAUGGCUUAACUGUGGGUUGGCAGCUGAUACGGGCAGGCUAGAGUUCGGUAUGGGAGACUGGAAUUCCUGGUGUAGCGGUGAAAUGCGCAGAUAUCAGGAGGAACACCGGUGGCGAAGGCGGGUCUCUGGGCCGAUACUGACGCUGAGGAGCGAAAGCGUGGGGAGCGAACAGGAUUAGAUACCCUGGUAGUCCACGCUGUAAACGUUGGGCGCUAGGUGUGGGGGGCCUCUCCGGUUUCCUGUGCCGUAGCUAACGCAUUAAGCGCCCCGCCUGGGGAGUACGGCCGCAAGGCUAAAACUCAAAGGAAUUGACGGGGGCCCGCACAAGCGGCGGAGCAUGCGGAUUAAUUCGAUGCGACGCGAAGAACCUUACCUGGGUUUGACAUGGCCGUUAAAGCCGCAGAGACGUGGUGUCCUUCGGGGGCGGUCACAGGUGGUGCAUGGCUGUCGUCAGCUCGUGUCGUGAGAUGCUGGGUUAAGUCCCGCAACGAGCGCAACCCUUGUUCGAUGUUGCCAGCGG
rnacentral:rRNA from 1 species